GACGAACGCUGGCGGCGUGCUUAACACAUGCCAGUCGAACGGUAAGGCCCUUCGGGGUCCCCGAGUGGCGAACGGGUGAGUAACACGUGGGUAAUCUGCCCUGCACAUCGGGAUAAGCCUGGGAAACUGGGUCUAAUACCGAAUAGGACCACAGGACACAUGUCCUGUGGUGGAAAGCUUUUGCGGUGUGGGAUGGGCCCGCGGCCUAUCAGCUUGUUGGUGGGGUGAUGGCCUACCAAGGCGACGACGGGUAGCCGGCCUGAGAGGGUGUCCGGCCACACUGGGACGGAGAUACGGCCCAGACUCCGACGGGAGGCAGCAGUGGGGAAUAUUGCACAAUGGGCGAAAGCCUGAUGCAGCGACGCAGCGUGGGGGAUGACGGCCUUCGGGUUGUAAACCUCUUUCACCAUCGACGAAGGUCCGGGUUUUCUCGGGCUGACGGUAGGUGGAGAAGAAGCACCGGCCAACUACGUG
rnacentral:rRNA from 1 species